rnacentral:lncRNA from 1 species
CACUGCUGUGUUUCCAUUUCAGAACGACCCUCUCUGGCUCCAGGCACAACCCAACCCAAGGCCAUGGCCACCACCCUCAGUCCCUGGAGCCUUCUCAUCAUCUUCCUCUGCUUCAUUCUAGCUGGCAGAUGAGGAGAGUUGUUUAGAGUGACAGGUACUGUGGGCAAUAUUGGGAGGGGAGCAAGAGGCAGGGACCCAUACCAAGGCUCAAGGCCUGUUGAGCUUGAGAGGGUUUAACCAAUUCAGGCCUGUUUCAACAACAGUAAAUUCAAUGAAAAAAAAUGUGGUACAUAGACACUAUGGAAAACUAUGCAGCCAUGAAACACAAAAAAAUCAUGUCCUUUUCAGCAACAUGGAUGCAACUAGAGGCUAUUAUCCUAAGCAUCCUAAUGCAAGAACAGAAAACCACAUACUGCAUCUUCCCA